UACGAAGGGGGCUAGCGUUGUUCGGAAUUAUUGGGCGUAAAGGGAGCGUAGGCGGUUCGGCAAGUCUCUAGUGAAAUCUCUGGGCUCAACCCAGAGUCUGCUGGGGAAACUGCCGGGCUUGAGUAUGGGAGAGGUGAGUGGAAUUCCCGGUGUAGCGGUGAAAUGCGUAGAUAUCAGGAGGAACACCUGUGGUGUAGACAGCUUACUGGACCAUUUCUGACGCUGAGACACGAAAGCGUGGGUAGCAAACAGG
rnacentral:rRNA from 1 species